GUUGACUUUUUUCUUUUUACUUUUUUUGUUCAUUUUAGUUCGUCGAUGUUCUCUGGAUUUAUGCGUAUAAAUGGUCUGCGCAAGUCAGAUCGAAGAUCCCUGGAGGAUCGUAGGUGGCACAAGUGUUCUUUCUGGAGCAUCAUUUAGUAUUGUGAUAAUAAUUGUCACAAUAAUAAUAAUAUUAAUAAUAAGAAGAAUAAUGGGGAAAAAUCCGGGUCCCCCUGGAGCUCUGCUGCUCUGCUGAUAAUUAUAAAUAUAAUUUAUUUAUUUAUUUAUCUGUUCUUCCUUGGUGUCGCUUCUUCCCGAGCAUCAUCAUCAUCAUCAUCAUCAUCGGUGGAUGUGACCGGAUUCGAAAAAAAUGUCGCAGUUUCUGGAGCCGCUGGAGCUGUGCUACCGAUCUCUGUGCUCCUGCGGCGAUCGGGCCGUCGCCGACGGCAGCCUGCUCGACUUCCUCCGGCAAGUCUCCACCUUCGGCCUCUCCCUGGUCCGCCUGGACAUCCGGCAAGAGUCCGACCGCCACACCGACGUCAUGACGGCCAUCACGGAGCACUUGGGCAUCGGCUGCUACCGCGACUGGCCGGAGCAGCGCCGCCAGGAAUGGCUCCUCUCGGAGCUCCGCGGGAAGCGCCCCCUCUUCGGGCCCGACCUGCCCAAGACCGCCGAGAUCGCCGACGUCCUCGACACGUUCCACGUCAUCUCCGAGCUGCCCUCCGACAACUUCGGGGCCUACAUCAUCUCCAUGGCGACGGCCCCCUCCGACGUGCUCGCCGUGGAGCUGUUGCAGAGGGAGUGCCGGGUGAAGAAGCCCCUGCGGGUGGUGCCCCUGUUCGAGAAGCUCGCGGACCUGGAGGCGGCGCCGGCGGCGGUGGCGAGGCUCUUCUCCAUCGACUGGUACAGGAACAGGAUCGCCGGAAAGCAGGAGGUGAUGAUCGGCUACUCCGACUCUGGCAAGGACGCCGGCAGGUUCUCGGCGGCGUGGCAGCUGUACAAGGCGCAG
rnacentral:lncRNA from 1 species